rnacentral:piRNA from 1 species
UAGGACAGUUGCUCAGGGAGUCC